rnacentral:rRNA from 1 species
UGCCAGCAGCCGCGGUAAUACGGAGGGUGCAAGCGUUGUUCGGAAUUACUGGGCGUAAAGAGCGUGUAGGCGGCUAGAUAAGUCUGGUGUGAAAGCCCUUGGCUCAACCAAGGAAGUGCGCCGGAAACUGUUUAGCUUGAGUACGGGAGAGGGAAGUGGAAUUCCCGGUGUAGAGGUGAAAUUCGUAGAUAUCGGGAGGAACACCAGUGGCGAAGGCGGCUUCCUGGACCGAUACUGACGCUGAGACGCGAAAGCGUGGGGAGCAAACAGGAUUAGAUA